rnacentral:lncRNA from 1 species
CAGUGGCCGAUAUAUGGUACUGUUUCUCCCAUAGCCAAGAUUCAGGAGUCCAGGAAUCAAGGGGUGGAAAUGGAAGUGGCACGACUCACCAACACCCCUAGAGAUCCACUGGCAAAAUUUUUGCUUCCUGUUCCCAUGACAUUAUAUUUUGCUGGCCUAAAGGUCUUAGUUCCAGAGGGAGAAACACUGCCGCCAGGAGACACAACAACGAUUCCAUUCAAUUAGAAGUUAAGAUUGCCACUUGGACACUUUGGGCUUCUCCUACCUUGAAGUCAACAGGCUAAGAAGAGAGUUACUUGGCUGGGGCGAUUGACCCAGAUUAUCAAGAUGAAAUCAGUCUACUACUCCACAACUGAGUAGAGACGGGGUUUCACCGUGUUAGCCAGGAUGGUCUCAAUCUCCUGACCUCGUGAUCCGCCCUCCUCGGCCUCCCAAAGUACUGGGAUUACAGGAGUGAGUCACCACGCCCGGCCGGAUUAUGGAUUUUUAAGAGGAAAACCACAGAGGAAGCCAAGCCACACUGCUAACUGAUGAGAGACCAGCUUGAAAGAGGGAGGACCUGCCAAUUGCCAUCAGCACAACUCCAGAUAUAUGGGAGUCAGGCUUUAGGGCAAAAACCGGGGAUCACAGAAUGCUUGCUCAAUCAACUUUGCUCAUCCAAAAUCACAAAAAUCGCCUCAAAAAAUGUUGAUGAUAAUUUAAUUUUCUUCACUCUCCAUGAAGAUGUUAGAUAAUGCUCACUCUGGGUGAGAAUAAAAGCCAGACUCAUCA